GCACUGGAUCAGCCAGCGCGUAUUAUGCCUACGCGCCGUAGCCAAGGAGGUGGCGGUUCUUGAUCGGGGAGCACGUGGCGUGCCCGCCACCGUUGUACUGGACGGUGCUCUUGUACGACUCAUAGCGGCGGCCGUCGCCGUGCUCCUCGCGGCUCUCGUACGACUCGUAGCGGCGCACACCGCCGAGGUUGUCAGCUCCGUAGCCGUGCUGCACCUGGACGCCGCCCUGCAUUCGGCCGCCGCGCGGCGGGAACGCCUCCUCGCAGUCGCUCUCGUCGUCCUCGCUCUCAGUCUCGCUCUCGUACACGUCCUUCCUGUAGCCGUGCUUCUGAAUGGCGGCGGCGGCGCCACCACCGUAGUGAGCGCCGUAUCCUCCCGCGUCGGUUCCGCCGUACGCCGCCUCCUGGUACUGGUAGCCGCUCUGCUUCACUUUGCCACCGGCGGUUACGCCGCCAUACCCAUGCUGCUGCACGGCGCCACCACCGCCGUAGUGAGCGCCGCCAUACCCUCCCGCGUCAGUUCCACCGUACGCCUCCUGGUACUGGUAUCCGUUCUUCUCUUUGCCAACGACCGCGACAGCGCCGUACCCGGUCCCGUACGCAUCUUUCUGGUGGUAGCCGUGCUGCUGCCCGGCCCCGGCGCCAACGACGCCGUGGUGAGCACCGUACCCCGCCCCUGCUGUGUUGACGGCUUCCCCGUACCCGUAUACCUUCUGCCGGGAGCCGUUAGUCUUACUAGCGGCGCCCUUCUGCUUGUAGGCCGGCUGCUGCACGGCGGCACCGAUGGAGCCACCGUACAGCGCCUGCUGGUUGUAGGCGUACGUCUGCACGGCGGCACCGGCGCCACCGUGGUGAGCGCCGUAGCCGGCGUCGCUCUCUCCGCACGCCUCCUUCGUGUAGUUGUAGCCUUGCUUCUUCAUUGCCGCGCCACCGUACCCGGCAGCUCCAGUCUCCCCGUACGCCUCCUGCUGGUAGCUGUAGCCUUGCUUCUUCACAGCGGCGCCGGCGUUGCCGUAGUGGGCACCGUAGUCCGCGUCGACUACUUGGCCGUACUCCUCCUCCUCCUCGUACUCGUCGUGCUUCUUCACGGCCAGGGUGCCGUUGUAUGCUUUGUCGUGCUCAUCGAACGCCUCCACCUUGCAGGCCUGCUUCUGCACGCCGCCGCCGCCGUAGUAGGGCUUGUCGUUGAUGGUCAUGCGGUUAAUUUCCGUGACGACGGUGGUCACGGACUCGGUGCUCUGGCGAUGGUAGCUCAUCUGGGGCUUGCUGCUGCCGUAAGCACCAUAGCCAUUGCUGCGCUUCACAAGCGAAUCCAUGCUCGCAGUAGGAGCUUUGUUUUUUUUUUUCCAAGUUGC
rnacentral:misc_RNA from 1 species